rnacentral:rRNA from 1 species
AUUGAACGCUGGCGGCAGGCCUAACACAUGCAAGUCGAGCGGAUGAAGGGAGCUUGCUCCUGGAUUCAGCGGCGGACGGGUGAGUAAUGCCUAGGAAUCUGCCUGGUCGUGGGGGAUAACGUCCGGAAACGGGCGCUAAUACCGCAUAAGUCCUGAGGGAGAAAGUGGGGGAUCUUCGGACCUCACGCUAUCAGAUGAGCCUAGGUCGGAUUAGCUAGUUGGUGGGGUAAAGGCCUACCAAGGCGACGAUUCGUAACUGGUCUAAGAGGAUGAUCAGUCACACUGGAAGUGAGACACGGACCAGGCUCCUACGGGAGCCACCAAUCGGGAAUCUCGGACAAUGGGCGACAGCCUGAUCCAGCCACGCCGCGUGUGUCAAUAAUGUCAUCAGUAUGUAAAGCGCUUUAAGUUGUGAAGAAGGGCAGUAAGUUAAUCCCUUGCUGUUUUGAAGUUACCAACAGAAUAAGCACCGGCUAACUACGUG